rnacentral:rRNA from 1 species
ACGUACGGAACCUAUCACGGGGACGGGGGAUAACCCGCUGAAAGGCGGGCUAAGACCGCGUACGCUCUCUGGCAGGAGGAGGCCGAGAGGAGAGGGGACGGUGAGGAACCGUUUCUGGCCUGUGCGGGACGUGCGCCUGAUUAGCUCGUUGGUGGGGUAACGGCCUACCAAGGCGACGAUCAGUCGCUGGUCUGAGAGGAUGACCAGCCACACUGGGACUGAGACACGGCCCAG